rnacentral:rRNA from 1 species
CCUACGGGUGGCAGCAGUGGGGAAUAUUGCGCAAUGGGCGAAAGCCUGACGCAGCGACGCCGCGUGAGGGAUGAAGGUCUUCGGAUCGUAAACCUCUGUCAGCAGGGAAGAACGGUCACUGUGCUAAUCAGCAGUGAAUUGACGGUACCUGCAAAGGACGCAUCGGCGAACUCCGUGCCAGCAGCCGCGGUAAUACGGAGGAUGCGAGCGUUAUCCGGUUUUAUUGGGUUGAAAGGGAGCGUCGGCGGUCCGGAAAGUCAGCGGUAAAAGCCCGGGGCUCAACCCCGGCGAGCCGUUGAAACUGUCGGACUAGAGACGGCGAGAAGUACGCGGAAUGCGCGGUGUAGCGGUGAAAUGCAUAGAUAGCGCGCAGAACUCCGAUUGCGAAGGCAGCGUACCGGCGCCGGACUGACGCUGAGGCACGAAAGCGUGGGUAUCGAACAGGAUUAGAUACCCGAGUAGUC